GCCCACCAAGCUGGGAGCCAUCUGGUGUGUAAGAUAGGACAGUGGGGUCCACUUUCCAGGUUUCGUCCUAGGUCUUGGCUUUGCUGAUAGUUGUCCAUUUGUGUUUUCCUCUGACUCGAUUUUCCUCUUAGGUGGAGGUCAUCAGUUCGCCGUCACACAGGUGGUGACUUCAAGAAGCAGGUCCACCUGGGAGGCAGCUGUGUCUGAUUCAGAGAGCGUAGAUGCUGUCACGGCCCCAGAUAGUGUCCUUUCACAGCUGAGUGCCUUUCUACCACGGGUUGCUCCCACCCUCAUGGGAGGAUUUCUGCCAACAAGAGGGGACCUGAGUGCCAGGCAGAGAUGCAGGGUUGGGACUUAAUCUGCUAAGCUGCACAGUGUACCCUAAAGAAAGGCGUAGACACCCUGGCAGUGAUUGGCGAAGGCCAGUUCCGAGGACCCUUGGGAAGAAGACUCCAAGGAGCUGAUUCCCUCCACUUCCUCCCAGUACUGCCUUCACCUCCAGUGACCCCACAGACCCUCACCUGUGAACCAGCCUUGCUUUGAGCACCUUGACCCGGUCCCCUGCAUCAGCCCUGCAUCAGCCCUGCCUGGUCGUCCUGGGGACCCUGAGCUAUGUGCAGCUGGCGUAGCAGAGUGUCAGGAGGAGACAGCAUAUCCAGGCUCUCGGGCAUCCCUUUGACAGAGAAGGACCCAGUCCUGACUGCUGCGGACACGGACCUUGUGAAGCCGGCUGAGCCUGUGGCUUGGUCAUGAAAGUCCGUCCUUCAGAGGUCUCUGCUAUGCAGACGGAACAGCGCCUGGUAGGACUGGCACCAAGGAGACCUCUGCCGUGUGUCCCCAGCUGUCCCAGGGAUGUGAGAUGAGCCCUGGGUGGAAUACCCUGGGAAAGUCCAGUCUUUAAACCAAAGAAAACUUCAAUUUGUGUGUUCAUAAGAAAAUGCCAUACUGUGUCUAUCAGAUGUGAAUUGGGGAAAUUGGCAAAUCUUAGAGCAUAAUUGUUAGAUAGUGUGUGGAUUAAGAUAUUUUUGAUGUUAAAUAAUAAUUGUGCUAAAAUCAGUCUUAAUAAGCAUCAGCUGUGUGGUAUACUUCGUAAGUUACGGUAUCC
rnacentral:lncRNA from 1 species